ensembl:lncRNA
CAGAAUAAGAAGAUGGAGAAGAGGACGUGGAGGAGGGUGGAGAGGAGAGAGGAAUGGGGGAGAAGAUGGAGCAGAGGCCAGAUGAUAUCGGGAGCAGUAUGGAUUCUGAGAUACGAAGAGGGAGCUUUCAAGAGGGAAAGAUUGGGCUGAUUGGAAGCACUGGUGACUCAUAGGUAUUGGGGGGGGGAAAGUCAGCCCAUGUGAGUACCUCGGGAUGUAGUGAAAUGGAGGGGAGUUUGUUACUGACAACUAUACAAUAGAAUGAAAUGGAUACAGGGAAUACAAAAGAUACGGGACAAAAGAAAAUGAGUUGGUUGGAAGAAAUGGAAUUGGAGUCUUUCUGAUUCAGAAGAUAUUGAAAAGAUAGAACAAGGGAAGGCUACAGGAAGAGGAAAGCUGCGGAUGUGAAAAAGGACAGCAGAGGGAGAAAACAGGGCUGGGAGGAGGACCUGCUGCCUGAGGAGAAGGAGGUUCCUCUGCUAAAACCUCUACCUUACCACCAAGAGAGUGGAGGACAUCGCCCUGAGGCUCGUCUCCUUGCGCCAGGCCUUCACU